rnacentral:rRNA from 1 species
UACGUAGGGAGCGAGCGUUGUCCGGAUUCAUUGGGCGUAAAGAGCUCGUAGGCGGCUUGAUUAGUCGGAUGUGAAACCUCCAGGCUCAACCUGGAGUCGCCAUCCGAUACUGUCAUGGCUAGAGUCCGGUAGGGGCCCACGGAAUUCCUGGUGUAGCGGUGAAAUGCGCAGAUAUCAGGAGGAACACCGGUGGCGAAGGCGGUGGGCUGGGCCGGUACUGACGCUGAGGAGCGAAAGCGUGGGGAGCGAACAGG